rnacentral:rRNA from 1 species
UACGUAGGUGGCGAGCGUUAUCCGGAAUUAUUGGGCGUAAAGAGCGCGCAGGUGGUUGAUUAAGUCUGAUGUGAAAGCCCACGGCUUAACCGUGGAGGGUCAUUGGAAACUGGUCGACUUGAGUGCAGAAGAGGGAAGUGGAAUUCCAUGUGUAGCGGUGAAAUGCGUAGAGAUAUGGAGGAACACCAGUGGCGAAGGCGACUUUCUGGUCUAUUAUUGACGCUGAGGCUCGAAAGCAUGGGUAGCAAACAGGAUUAGAUA